CCUGCCUGCCUGCCGCGCCGAGUAGCCCCGGCUCCCCGGCGAACGCAUGUGCGCGGUGGGAGGGGGGAGCGCAUGAUUGAUCGCCCACACCCCAGCCGGCCAGUCCGACCUCGCCCGGCCGCGGUUCCCGGCGCGGAGGCGAUGGCGAUGGCGAGCCCAGCGGGCAGCCGUGGUGUGGCCCCCCCGGGCGCGCGGCGAUUUCCCGGCCGUGUCGGGUGGGAAAUAAUCGAACCGCGCUGCCUUUCUCCGUGCAUGCGAUCAUUGCGGCCUCCCCUCGGCUUUUUACGUUUUGCCGGCUCCGUCGCCGUCCGGCUCGGUGGCAUGCAUGGACUGGACCUGGACGGAAGGUCGGGGGGUACGGUGACUGGGACGGACGGACACGGACCACGGCCCGGAAACCCAUGAUGAUUUCUCCACUGCCAACGCUGGUAUAUAUCUGACGACGGGUUUCGGGCGGGGGGACUGCUGCUUGCUAGGCGGUCGAAGAACUCCGGCGUCAGUUGAUUGAAGCAAGGCAAAGCAGCCAGCAGCAGGUGUGACAAGGCCACGGAGUUUUUGUUGGCUCGUGGCCGGCGUCACGUGUGGUUAUUACGUACGCGACAACAGGCGCGCGUCCAAGGAGUGAGUAGCCGCCGAGCGGCACCAUCAGGUGUUUCACAGAGGACACGUACGUCGAACCGUUCUGACUUCUGCUUUCCCGAGACCCCAGUGUGGCGGACGGGUAACCAUUUUUUUUCCGUCAGGGAAGCCAAACAUUUGUGUACAGUAACAGUAACGCUUUUGUUUUUCGAAAGAGCAGUCACAUAAAAAAAAACUGACCUCAAGUCUGCAGCUCCGUGGGCCGUAUCGGUGUGUGCUACGCAAGUUCAGGCCCAUCAGACCAUCAAGUGCAAAAGCCUAGCUAGCAUUCCCCUCCACACUGCCGGGUCCGAUUAGAGCCCAAUUACCCCCACCGCGUCCCCUAAUCGUCUCGCACGUACCGUACGGUCUCAGGCGCAUCGGCCUCGCCGCUCCACAGACGACGGCGGAGGCGGCGAGAUGACGGUCUUCCACUUCCUCAACUGCGCCUUCCUCACCUUUGGCCCCCACGUCGUCUACUACUCCGCUACCCCACUGUACAUCUCCCUCCCUCCCUCCCUCCCCUUGAGAUCCGUAUGCUAAACAUACGGGAUCUGCCACUGGAUCCGUACUGUCAGUCAAGACUAGAGAGUAACCACAUGAUAACUAUGAAAUCAUGAAGUGCGUUCUGGAGUGGAAAAGAUUACACUGAAACUAUAUACAUGUAAAUAACAGGCCGAAAAUUGAAUUAUACUAAAUGUUUGCUAGUAUAUUCUCUAUGUAGCUUUAAGGUUGUGGCCUUUUCAGUUACAUAAAAAAGGUCUGAAUAUCUCAUUUCUCAUCUAAUGCAAUAGUCCACAUCCACUGCAACUAAACCCUACUUAUUUUCUGGCCGUCACCCACUCCGGCAAUGAGGGCAGCGUCUACCCAUAACCCAUGGAACAUGUACAUUAGGUCAUGGAUUCUUGGCAAUGCAUACCUAGCUGAGCUGACCUGACCUAGUUUUAUCUGAACAUGACAAGAAAACAGUGUUCUGCAUUCAAAGGUUCCCUCGACUGAACAUUUUUUUUAUCCAAUUACCUGUUUUUAGGUCAGAGUAUGAUACGAUCGGCACUUCUGUAAAAGCAGCUGCUGUUUACCUUGGAACUGCACUUGUAAAGGUCAGCCACCGGCCCAGGAUUCUUAGCUUUUGUAAAUUUUGAAGCAGUAAAGGGAUACAUCUAGUGCAAAACCAAUUAGGUGCAAGUUUGGGAAAACAAGUCUUUUUAUCUGGGCACCAAGUAACAUGAAAAAUUCCACAAGGAAAAAAAAGUAAAAUUAGAUGUUUCCUCUGGAUUAUUGACUUGUUCAAUAUAGAUGGGUAAAACCCAAAACUUUUGGGUUUAUUUUUUUGCAUUAUUUUGGUGUACACCUGUUUUGUCAUAUUUCCCAGUGAGAACCAUGGUUGUUUAGCCAAAUAAUGUAUCAUUAAUCGAUCGCUUACCUAUUCAAAUUUUUUUUCUUGUUUGUUUGUGUUCUCAUUACCUUGUUGUGUCUACCUUUUUUUUAUUAACACUUGAUGCUCAUUUCAGUAGCUUUUCCUAUUAUAACCUUAAUAUAUUCUGCAAUAUAUAUACAUUCUUUUGAUUUUUAGAUACAAACUUUUGCCGUGUGCGUAACUGUAACAUGGCACUGUGUCAAAGAAGUUAUUCAGCCUUUUCCUGAUUUCAAUUUUCUAUAGUUUAUUCUGCAUGGUUAAAGUUUUGUUGUUAACUUUCAAUGGUUGACGUUACUUGUAAUUCCUUGCCAUACUAUUCUAUUUUUUUUUCUAUGCUUAUUAUCACGAUAAGUUCAGUGAACCAACGUCAUUAAUUGGCUGCUAACAUCACUAUAUCAUAUUGGCAGCUUGUUUGCUUGGCAACAUUGCUCAAAGUACCUGAGAAUGAUAGCUUUGAUCCCUGUCAGGUAUAUUUGCUACACUUUAUGGGACUCGCAAAAUACACUUUGAUUCCAACUUGGUGCCCUCUUAUCUAUCCUGUUGUUUGAACUUGCAGGAGUUAUUGAAAGUUGUUAUUGGAUUCAUAGAUGCAGUUGGACUGUAUUUUGCCUUGACACAGUUGACCCACAGAAACAUAUCUCAGAAUCAUAAGUUCCAGGCUGUUGGUCUUGGUAAGUACAGAGUUGUCUCUGAAAUUUGAUUCAUGACAGAUUAUCAAACUGCAUCCAUGGCCAUAGUGAAAUUUAUUCUCUCUUCUAAAUUACCAUCUCUAUUCUGUGCCUUUUCUAUUUGUCCUUGUGUGCUAUGUGCUGAAAAUAUAUCUUAGGCUUUACUACUUGUGUCCAUCUUGAGUUACACUGCACUUAUUUUUCCAUUACAUGGUUUUGGCAUGGAUAUAUGGAAGGAAGCACACUUAGGUCCUGUUUGGAUCUCCUUAGAAAAGUGAGAAUGAGAUCCAAACACUUGGGUUAUAGAAUGAGAUUUUAGAAUCCAAAUAUCUACCCAAACCACUAUUUAGAGAUUUUUCGGUAUGCAAAGGUAAUAAUCACUAUGAGAAUGAGUUCCAAACACCCCUUAUUUUUAUGCCAGAAUUCAGAUUCUACAUUCACUAUCCAGAAUCCAGAAUCUACACAAACCACUAUUUAGGGACUUACUGGUUAUUGUCAGUGGUAUCAGAAAUUUGUCAACAUCUUGUUUUGUUAGUUUCUCUGCAUAAAUUUGUGGAAAAAAUAUGAGAUUGUGGCCCUUUCUCAGUGUAUCGUAACUUUGUUGUCACUUAACAUCAAAGGCUGGUUGUUUUGGGGUUUUCAGGUUGGGCUUUUGCUGCUUCAGUUCUGCACCGACUGGCACCUCUCUGGAUUGGAGCAAGAGGGCUUGAAUUUACAUGGGAGUACAUAUUACAAGGCCUUGAAGCAAAUGCUAAUCUUGUAUGCACUCAAUACAAUGUGAAAAUAUAAUACCAGAUUCCUUGAUUUGAAGAAAGCAACUUCCUAAACUCAUGGUGUUUAUUUAACAUAUUUGUCAACAAGAAGAAUGCUAAUUUAUAUUUUUCUACAGGUGAUGACCCUCUCCCUUGCUGCAUUGGGAUCCUUGAUGUGGCUUAGGAAGAACAAGCCUAGGACUUUGGUUCCGAUAGUUUAUGCAUGUGCUCUGCUCUUAGCAACAAUGCCAUCUAUUACCGGGUAAACAACGUUCUGCUUUGUUUUCUGAAACAGAAAGUGCUUUAUUACAAGAAAUCAUAAUUUCUAGAUGUGUAUGUCAUCUUUUUUGUUGUUGCUAAGCCAUGCCUGUAGAUUAUUCUAGCAUGACUUGUAUGGAAUCAAGACUAAAAGGCUUCUUUGUUGUUGCCUGUGUUGUCAAUUAGUUUGAACUCAGGAAGAUUAUCUGAGUUCUUAACCGCUUCAACAGUCAACACCAUGCUUAACACCUGAUGGAUAGAUAGCACAUUUAUUUUUUUUCUCAACCCUAAACUUUUCUAAUUUAGAUGUCUUAAUUUUCCAUCUCCAUUGGAUAUAUCAUCAUCAUGUGCAAAGCUCCAUGAAUACCUUGAAUUCUUUUCCCAAAGAGUGUUUGAAUUUUCUGUUCAACUGCGGCAUUCGUAGUAAUUAAUCUUUUUCUUCGAGGAUAUAUGGUAGUUCUUGUUUACCUAAGCUACGACCAACUUUGGCAUAUGUUUCAUGCUACACAAUUAUGGAUGAUUAUAUAUGUUUCAUGCUACACAAUUAUGGAUGAUCUAUACUCACCACCGACCAGGAAAUACCAUUCUUUACCCAUCACCUUUAGGUCCUAUUGUCUAUUGAUUUCGCUGUGAUUUGUGCGUUCCAUGCUCCCUAGUCAUAUUGUUCACUGGGCUAAACAUGCUCAAAUAUUGCAGCUACUUGAGGAGGUCAUUGGAGUGGCAGACACCAAAGGUGGUUGGCUUUGAGCUCAUCUCCUCUCUUGUUAUGGCUUUGAUCAGCUGGCAGCUGUUCUCGGCUUGUCAGAGACCGACGUGACGAGACAUCCAUAUCACUGCCAAUUUUACGUGCAGUUUGAAGCUGCUGAGGAUGCUUCCUGAUACGUCGGAAGAAUUACGAUGAUUCUCUGAACUCUGGACCACAACUCUUCUUGGCGUUCGGUCACAGAACAUUUUACAUAGAACAUCUGUUGUGACUUAGAGAACUGUCGAGCAGAAACCCAUGCCUCAAAUGAGUUAAUUCUGUAACAGAUGCUCAGGUAGGCCUUUGAUCUGAAACAUUUGUUUAUUGUUAUUACGGUGUGCAUUUCAGACAGAUGCUAUCUUUGGUCGCAUAAUCUAGCGUAAAGAUCAGAUAAUUCAGGUAUCCCACAGAACGCGUGAAUAAAAAGAAGUUUGGUUGCACUCCUCUCACUCUUGAUGUGAACACCUGAAGAUCAAUGUCAGACCUCGGCUCUGAAAACAUGUUUCCACAGUAUUCAUCAAUUGUCAUCGUUGAUACAGUACAUACCAAAGAUUGAAUCGAAAGUAUAUAUAUGUGUAUUUAGAGUCCUGGACUCUGUUUAACUACAGAAGCCCCGACCACCAGUCCGAUUGACCAGGCGCACCGUCUGGUCCACCCACCAUAAUGUUUAAGCUUACUUAUACACAGCUUUACGCUCAUGUACCAUCGUAUAAAAACAACCGCUCUACUUGGUCUUUCCGCAAUGGCUGAGACUAGGGUUUCAUUGGUGGCGGUAGCACGACAUGAGCGAGCGCAGCGAAGCCAGCACAACCGCCGGCGAACAAGCGUCCCCAUAGACGAGAUCCAUGGCGCAGCGCCGGAAGAGCGUCUCCUCCGUGCCGUUUGCUUCGGCGAGCGCUGGGAGGGGAUAAUGGCAGUAGUGAGCUCGGUCUCUGUUCUGUCCCUCGCGUCGCUGAGGCCUCUUUCGUUGAGGUGUGCUGCUAGGAAUGUGUUGGAGGGAGGAGGGAGAAGGGCUUCGAGUCCCCUACUCCUCGCGAGGUAUGGGCUGCGGCGCGGACGCCCGGCUGCUGCUGCUGUGGGCGGCGAAGUGGAGUUGGCCCUCGAAGAUGCAGAUGCCACGAUGAGGGUGGCCGCCGACGACGACAGCAUCACGGCCACGGUGGUGUCCGUGCUGCUCACACUUGCGUUCGUCGGUCUCUCCAUCCUCACCCUCGGGGUGCGUGUCCUUCCAUGAAAAUCAUUAGUUGGGUUGCGACUUGCCGCUUGCGAGCUGUUGUGGUAUUGGAAGGUCGAUGCUGGUCUCUCCAGACGCCAGACUGUGCUUUUGGCUAGCUUACGAUUAUCUUUGCAAUGCAGGUGAUCACCAGUCGGUGCAAGACUUCUUGCAUAAGAGGGAAAAGGAGAAGUUUGAGAAGGAGGAGGCCGAAAAGCAGAAAGAGGAGGCGAGGAAGAAGAGGGCUAAGUCCUGGCAGAAGAGAAGAAAUUAUUGAUCUCGGGAUGAACUACCCCCCACCAAUGUGACCAUUUCUUCUUCUUUUCCACCCUGUUUCUUGUAAUAGCAAUGAUUUUGUAUGUAGCGUUGCACCUUUGGUAUCACAUUGUGGCUUUCCUUCACUCCAUUGCCGGCUCUUGGAUGCUGUAACACUGAACUCCAUUGUCGGAUCCAUUGCCCGAGGUUGUGCUCACGCCAUCAGUUUUGGAGUCUCUUGGAUGCUGUAACACUGAACUCCAUUGUCGGCUCCAUUGCCGAGGUUGUUCUCACGCCAUCAGUUUUGGAGUCCGGAGGAGGUAGGACACUCACUAUUCUCGUUUUCCCCAAAAUAGAACAUCUCUUCCAACAUUGUUACUGUCCAAUUGAGUACAUAUUGUCAAAAUCCAUCAGAAAUAUCUAACUGACUCUUGUUAUCGGUAGCUCUCCUAGUCGAUUUGUUAAAUAUCUAACUGUCUGUUGAUAUAUGCAGGGAGGAAAAGCAGGGUAGCCAGAAUCUCUGUUGGCGUCGCCUGUUUCAUUGUGUUCAUGAUGAUCCUUUCAGUAAUAGGCCUUUUUAGGAAGUAAAGGAAACGUUUGUGCUCUGGUUUCUGCAAGAGGUUUGCACAUAAACGAUUUUUUAUUGCAGUCUAGGCUUCAACCUUUGGUUGAUAAACACUCUCUCAAUAAGUAACGAAGGAAUAAGAAUAAAUGGUGGGAAAUACAAGAAUCUGAAAAUGAAUAAAUGAUGCGACAGGUUGUUGUAGAGUAGCAUGAUCUAAGUGAAUGCAUAACUCUACUCUUAUAUUAUAUAAUUUCUCUCAAUCCAUGUCUUUUAACUGGUGAAUCAUUUUAGGCUUCUGUUUCUUUUAUGCUUUUAUACAGGCUUACACAGACCUGUUUUGACAAGAGCCGAGCAGCGAUGCUUCCAUUUCGGACCACGACCUAGCUAAAGGCUAAUGGUUCCAAAUGUCUGAAGUACCGAAGACAGGGCUAGCUCCUCAUUUUUUGUCAUGUCAAAAAAAUCGUGCAUGAUUGCAACAAUAUUGGCAAAAUAUCGUUGUACUUUAUAUUUUUUGAUAUACUGUGAACAAAACAAGUGCCCUAUGAGACAAUCGUGAUUUAUGAUUUAUGCAUUUUCAAACUAAAUUUACAACACUUCAUGUUGUGUUUUAUGCUUCCAUUAAAAAACAGUCUUACUGCAUUUUACGCUAAAUUUAUGACACUUUUUAUGUGUUUUACAACAAUCUCUUGCGAAGUGAGAUUGUGUGCGUGUUUUACACUAAAUUUCGUACUCAUUUACGCUAUUUUAGCUCACGUUUUACGUUGAAAUCAUUCGAGCCAGAACCCGUGCACGAUCGGCUGCAUGCGAUUUUCACGCCGUAAUUUUGGGCCCUGUUUGCUGUUACAAAACAGAUAUAUGAUUUACGACAAAUUUCGUACUCAUUUAUACUGUUUUAGAUAGCGUAAAUGAGUACGGAAUUUAUCGUAAAUCCUAUUUCUGUUUUGUAACAGCAAACGGGUCCAAAAUUACGGCGUGAAAAUCGCAUGCAGCCGAUCGUACGCGGGUUCUGGCUCGAAUGAUUUCAGCGUAAAAUGUGAGCUAAAACAUCGUAAAUGAGUACGAAAUUUUGUGCAAAACACGCGCACAAUCUCACUUCGCAAGAGAUUGCUGUAAAACACAUCAAAAAGUGUCAUAAAUUUGGCGUAAAACGCAGUAAGACUGUUUUUUAAUGGAAACAUAAAACACAACAAAAAGUGUCGUAAAAUUUAGUUUGAACAUACAUAAAUCACGAUGGUCUCAUAGGGCACUUGUUUUGUUCACAGUAUAUCAAAAUAUAAAGUACAACAAUAUUUUGCCAAAAUUGCUGCAAUCAUACACGAUUUUUUUGACAUGACAAAAAACGAGGAGCUAGCCUUGUCUUUGGUACUUGAGACAUUUGGAACCAUUAGCCUUUAGCUAGGUCGUGGUCCGAAAUGGAAGCAUCGCUGCUCGGUCUCUUGUCAAAACAGGUCUGUGUAAGCAUGUAUAAAGCAUAAAAGAAACCUAAAAUGAUUCACCAAUUAAAAGACAUGGAUUGAGAGGAAUGAUAUAAUAUAAGAGUAGAGUUAUGCAUUCACUUAGAUCAUGCUGCUCUACAACAACCUGUCACAUCAUUUAUUCAUUUUCAUAUUCUUAUAUCUCUCAUCAUUUAUUCUUAUUCCUUCGUUACUUAUUGUGAGUGUUUAUCAACCAAAGGUUGGAGCCUAGACAGCAAUAAAAAAUUGUUUAUGUGCAAACCUCUUGCAGAAACCAGAGCACAAACGUUUCCUUUACUUCCUAAAAAGGCCUAUUACUGAAAGGAUCAUCAUGAACACAAUGAAACAGGCGACGCCAAUAGAGAUUCUGGCUACCCUGCUUUUCCUCCCUGCAUAUAUCAACAGACAGUUAGAUAUUUAACAAAUCGAGUAGGAGAGCUAUCGAUAACAAGAGUCAGUUAGAUAUUUCUGAUGGAUUUUGACAAUAUGUACAACUGGACAGUAACAAUGUUGGAAGAGAUGUUCUAUUUUGGGGAAAACGAGAAUAGUGAGUGUCUUACCUCCUCCGGACUCCAAAACUGAUGGCGUGAGCACAACCCCGGGCAAUGGAGCCGGCAAUGGAGUUCAGUGUUACAGCAUCCAAGAGACUCCAAAACUGAUGGCGUGAGCACAACCCCGGGCAAUGGAGCCGGCAAUGGAGUUCAGUGUUACAGCAUCUAAGAGCCGACAAUGGAGUGAAGGAAAACCACAAUGUGAUACCAAAGGUGCAACACUACAUACAAAAUCAUUGCUAUUACAAGAAACAUGGUGGAAAAGAAGAAGAAAUGGUCACAUUGGUGGGGGUAGUUCAUCCUGAGAUCAAUAAUUUCUUCUCUUCUGCCUCGACUUAGCCCUCUUCUUCCUCGCCUCCUCUUUCUGCUUUUCGGCCUCCUCCUUCUCAAACUUCUCCUUUUCCCUCUUCUGCAAGAAGUCCUGCACCGACAGGUAGAUCACCUGCAUUGCAAAGAGAAUCGUGAGCUAGCCAAAAGCACAGUCUGGUAUCUGGAGAGACCAGCAUCGACCUUCCAAUACCACAACAGCUCGCAAGCGACAAGUCGCAACCCAGCUCACGAUUUUCAUGGAAGGACACGCACCCCGAGGGUGAGGAUGGAGAGGCCGACGAACGCAAGUGUGAGCAGCACGGACACCACCGUGGCCGUGAUGCUGUCGUCGUCGGCGGCCACCCUCAUCGCGGCAUCCGCAUCUUCGAGGGCCAACUCUGCUUCGCCGCCCACAGCAGCAGCCGGGCGUCCGCGCCACAGCCCAUACCUCGCGAGGAGCAGGGGACUCGAAGCCCUUCUCCCUCCUCCCUCCAACACAUUCCUAGCAGCACGCCUCAACGGAAGAGGCCUCAGCGACGCGAGGGGCAGAAUAGAGACCGAGCUCACUGCUGCCAUUAUCCCCUCCCGGCGCGCGCCGAAGCAAACAGCACGGAGGAGACGCUCUUCCGGCGCUCCGCCAUGGAUCUCGUCUAUGGGGACACUUGUCCGCCGGCAGUUGUGUUGGCUUCGCUGCGCUCGCUCACGUGGUGCAACCGUCACCACUGAAAUUCUAGUUUCAGCCAUCGCGGAAAGGCCAGGUAGAGCGGUUGUUUCUAUAAGAUGAUACAUGAGCGUAAACCUGUGUAAGCGUAAAACCUCAUCUGGGCGCCGAACGCUCCUCCGCGCCGCUUCCUGCCCGCGAGGCUGAGCGAUGCCACGACCUUGGCGAAGGAGUAGUCGGCGGUCUUGCGCACCCCGAGCAUGGUCACCUUGUUGAGCCCCUUGAGGCCGCUGUAGGCUUUCAUGCCCUCCACGUACGUGACGCCGGCGGCGGGCCUCCUCUUGGCUGCCGGGGCCGCUAGCGACGGGGCCGUUGCCACGGCGAACGACGCCAUCCCUGCGCUGCGUGGACUGGACUGGCUAGAGAGCUAGCCUGCUGGCGACGGGCAGCGCGGACAGGCGGUGAGAACCGGUAUAUGCAAGGCGGCGGACGCGCCGUGACUGUAACUGUAAUGAAGUGUAGUGCAGAGUAUGGGAACGCGGCGUGAACCGACGACGCUUACCUGUGGGCUGUGGCUCGUGAGAGAGACGAGUGUGGCCGGCGGGGGUGGAACCGUGGAACUGGAUGGGAUGGCUUGAGCGCGCGUUUUUUUUUGGGUACGGGAGAUGAGGGGAGGAUAAGGCGGGGCGCGGAAUGGAUGGUUGCCAAGGGGGAGUUUAUCCUCGGUGGUGAGUGUCACGGAGGAGGUUCAUGGGCGGAACCAGGGACACAUGGAGGACUGGAGGUCCGCACCACACAGGAGGCAAGCCUAUGCCUUUCGAUCUCCUGGAGGCACACGCAG
rnacentral:lncRNA from 1 species